GCCGCGUGAGUGACGAAGGCCUUAGGGUCGUAAAGCUCUUUCGCCAGAGAUGAUAAUGACAGUAUCUGGUAAAGAAACCCCGGCUAACUCCGUGCCAGCAGCCGCGGUAAUACGGAGGGGGUUAGCGUUGUUCGGAAUUACUGGGCGUAAAGCGCACGUAGGCGGAUUGGAAAGUAUGGGGUGAAAUCCCAGGGCUCAACCCUGGAACGGCCUUGUAAACUCCCAGUCUAGAGUUCGAGAGAGGUGAGUGGAAUUCCAAGUGUAGAGGUGAAAUUCGUAGAUAUUUGGAGGAACACCAGUGGCGAAGGCGGCUCACUGGCUCGAUACUGACGCUGAGGUGCGAAAGUGUGGGGAGCAAACAGGAUUAGAUACCCUGGUAGUCCACACCGUAAACGAUGAAUGCCAGACGUCGGGGGGCUUGCCCUUCGGUGUCACACCUAACGGAUUAAGCAUUCCGCCUGGGGAGUACGGUCGCAAGAUUA
rnacentral:rRNA from 1 species